rnacentral:rRNA from 1 species
AGUGAACGCUGGCGGUAGGCCUAACACAUGCAAGUCGAACGGCAGCACAGUAAGAGCUUGCUCUUACGGGUGGCGAGUGGCGGACGGGUGAGGAAUACAUCGGAAUCUACUUUUUCGUGGGGGAUAACGUAGGGAAACUUACGCUAAUACCGCAUACGACCUACGGGUGAAAGCAGGGGAUCUUCGGACCUUGCGCGAUUGAAUGAGCCGAUGUCGGAUUAGCUAGUUGGCGGGGUAAAGGCCCACCAAGGCGACGAUCCGUAGCUGGUCUGAGAGGAUGGUCAGCCAAACUGGAACGUAGACACGGGCCCGACUCCUACGGGAGGCAGCAGGGGGGAAUAUUGGACAAUGGGCGCAAGCCUGAUCCAGCCAUACCGCGUGGGUGAAGAAGGCCUUCGGGUUGUAAAGCCCUUUUGUUGGGAAAGAAAAGCAGCAGGUUAAUACCCCGCUGUUCUGACGGUACCCAAAGAAUAAGCACCGGCCAACUUCGUG